GGAAGUAAAAGUCGUAACAAAGUUUCCGUAGGUGAACCUGCGGAAGGAUCAUUAUUGAGUGAAACACUUCUGGCUUUAUGCUGUUGUGCUGGCCCUUUGGGCAAUGUGCACACGGCUCUGGUCACUUGUUUCUUCUGUUCCACCUGUGCACUGCCUGUAGACACGCUGUGUCUAUGAUAUUUGUUAACACACAACAAUGUUAGUUGGCAUGUUAUAUAUAAUAAUAAAAUAUACAACUUUCAACAACGGAUCUCUUGGCUCUC
rnacentral:misc_RNA from 1 species